UUAAGCGACUAAGCGUACACGGUGGAUGCCCUGGCAGUCAGAGGCGAUGAAGGGCGUGCUAAUCUGCGAUAAGCGCCGGUAAGGUGAUAUGAACCGUUAUAACCGGCGAUACCCGAAUGGGGAAACCCAGUGUGACUCGUCACACUAUCAUUAACUGAAUCCAUAGGUUAAUGAGGCGAACCGGGGGAACUGAAACAUCUAAGUACCCCGAGGAAAAGAAAUCAACCGAGAUUCCCCCAGUAGCGGCGAGCGAACGGGGAGGAGCCCAGAGCCUGAAUCAGCAUGUGUGUUAGUGGAAGCGUCUGGAAAGGCGCGCGAUACAGGGUGACAGCCCCGUACACAAAAGCGCAUGUGUUGUGAGCUCGAUGAGUAGGGCGGGACACGUGGUAUCCUGUCUGAAUAUGGGGGGACCAUCCUCCAAGGCUAAAUACUCCUGACUGACCGAUAGUGAACCAGUACCGUGAGGGAAAGGCGAAAAGAACCCCGGCGAGGGGAGUGAAAAAGAACCUGAAACCGUGUACGUACAAGCAGUGGGAGCCCCACCACUAAGCCAGUGGUGAACUCCACAUACGCAUCCUUUGCUGAGGAUACGGUUAACGGAGCGAAAGCGACGUUCAACCGCAAAAGAAGCAGAGGGGGCUUAGUGGUGGGGUGACUGCGUACCUUUUGUAUAAUGGGUCAGCGACUUAUAUUCUGUAGCAAGGUUAACCGUAUAGGGGAGCCGUAGGGAAACCGAGUCUUAACCGGGCGUUAAGUUGCAGGGUAUAGACCCGAAACCCGGUGAUCUAGCCAUGGGCAGGUUGAAGGUUGGGUAACACUAACUGGAGGACCGAACCGACUAAUGUUGAAAAAUUAGCGGAUGACCUGUGGCUGGGGGUGAAAGGCCAAUCAAACCGGGAGAUAGCUGGUUCUCCCCGAAAGCUAUUUAGGUAGCGCCUCGUGAAUUCAUCUCCGGGGGUAGAGCACUGUUUCGGCUAGGGGGCCAUCCCGGCUUACCAACCCGAUGCAAACUGCGAAUACCGGAGAAUGUUAUCACGGGAGACACACGGCGGGUGCUAACGUCCGUCGUGAAGAGGGAAACAACCCAGACCGCCAGCUAAGGUCCCAAAGUCAUGGUUAAGUGGGAAACGAUGUGGGAAGGCCCAGACAGCCAGGAUGUUGGCUUAGAAGCAGCCAUCAUUUAAAGAAAGCGUAAUAGCUCACUGGUCGAGUCGGCCUGCGCGGAAGAUGUAACGGGGCUAAACCAUGCACCGAAGCUGCGGCAGCGACACUCAGGUGUUGUUGGGUAGGGGAGCGUUCUGUAAGCCUGUGAAGGUGUGUCGUGAGGCAUGCUGGAGGUAUCAGAAGUGCGAAUGCUGACAUAAGUAACGAUAAAGCGGGUGAAAAGCCCGCUCGCCGGAAGACCAAGGGUUCCUGUCCAACGUUAAUCGGGGCAGGGUGAGUCGACCCCUAAGGCGAGGCCGAAAGGCGUAGUCGAUGGGAAACGGGUUAAUAUUCCCGUACUUGGUGUUACUGCGAAGGGGGGACGGAGAAGGCUAUGUUGGCCGGGCGACGGUUGUCCCGGUUUAAGCGUGUAGGUGUGUGUUCCAGGUAAAUCCGGUUCACUUUAACACUGAGGCGUGAUGACGAGGCACUACGGUGCUGAAGCAACAAAUGCCCUGCUUCCAGGAAAAGCCUCUAAGCAUCAGGUAACAUCAAAUCGUACCCCAAACCGACACAGGUGGUCAGGUAGAGAAUACCAAGGCGCUUGAGAGAACUCGGGUGAAGGAACUAGGCAAAAUGGUGCCGUAACUUCGGGAGAAGGCACGCUGACACGUAGGUGAAGUGAUUUACUCAUGGAGCUGAAGUCAGUCGAAGAUACCAGCUGGCUGCAACUGUUUAUUAAAAACACAGCACUGUGCAAACACGAAAGUGGACGUAUACGGUGUGACGCCUGCCCGGUGCCGGAAGGUUAAUUGAUGGGGUCAGCGCAAGCGAAGCUCCUGAUCGAAGCCCCGGUAAACGGCGGCCGUAACUAUAACGGUCCUAAGGUAGCGAAAUUCCUUGUCGGGUAAGUUCCGACCUGCACGAAUGGCGUAAUGAUGGCCAGGCUGUCUCCACCCGAGACUCAGUGAAAUUGAACUCGCUGUGAAGAUGCAGUGUACCCGCGGCAAGACGGAAAGACCCCGUGAACCUUUACUAUAGCUUGACACUGAACAUUGAGCCUUGAUGUGUAGGAUAGGUGGGAGGCUUUGAAGCGUGGACGCCAGUCUGCGUGGAGCCGACCUUGAAAUACCACCCUUUAAUGUUUGAUGUUCUAACGUGGACCCGUUACCCGGGUUGCGGACAGUGUCUGGUGGGUAGUUUGACUGGGGCGGUCUCCUCCUAAAGAGUAACGGAGGAGCACGAAGGUUGGCUAAUCCUGGUCGGACAUCAGGAGGUUAGUGCAAUGGCAUAAGCCAGCUUGACUGCGAGCGUGACGGCGCGAGCAGGUGCGAAAGCAGGUCAUAGUGAUCCGGUGGUUCUGAAUGGAAGGGCCAUCGCUCAACGGAUAAAAGGUACUCCGGGGAUAACAGGCUGAUACCGCCCAAGAGUUCAUAUCGACGGCGGUGUUUGGCACCUCGAUGUCGGCUCAUCACAUCCUGGGGCUGAAGUAGGUCCCAAGGGUAUGGCUGUUCGCCAUUUAAAGUGGUACGCGAGCUGGGUUUAGAACGUCGUGAGACAGUUCGGUCCCUAUCUGCCGUGGGCGCUGGAGAACUGAGGGGGGCUGCUCCUAGUACGAGAGGACCGGAGUGGACGCAUCACUGGUGUUCGGGUUGUCAUGCCAAUGGCACUGCCCGGUAGCUAAAUGCGGAAGAGAUAAGUGCUGAAAGCAUCUAAGCACGAAACUUGCCCCGAGAUGAGUUCUCCCUGAGACUUAGAGUCUCCUGAAGGAACGUUGAAGACGACGACGUUGAUAGGCCGGGUGUGUAAGCGCAGCGAUGCGUUGAGCUAACCGGUACUAAUGAACCGUGAGGCUUAACCUU
rnacentral:rRNA from 2 species